rnacentral:rRNA from 1 species
UACAGAGGUCCCAAGCGUUGUUCGGAUUCACUGGGCGUAAAGGGUGCGCAGGUGGGUUUGCAAGUUCGAUGUGAAAGCCCCGGGCUUAACCCGGGAAUGGCAUUGGAUACUGCAGAUCUGGAGGAUCGGAGGGGGGGCUGGAAUUCUUGGUGUAGCAGUGAAAUGCGUAGAUAUCAAGAGGAACACCAGUGGCGAAGGCGAGUCCCUGGACGAUACCUGACACUGAGGCACGAAAGCUAGGGGAGCAAACAGG